GCAAGUCGAACGGUAGCAGAAGAGAGCUUGCUCUCUUGCUGACGAGUGGCGGACGGGUGAGUAAUGCGUAGGGAUCUACCUUAAAGUGGGGGACAACCCGGGGAAACUCGGGCUAAUACCGCAUAAUAUCUAAGGAGAAAAGCUGGGGACCUUUUCGGAGGCCUGGCGCUUUAAGAUGAACCUACGUCCGAUUAGCUAGUUGGUAGGGUAAAGGCCUACCAAGGCAACGAUCGGUAGCUGGUCUGAGAGGAUGACC
rnacentral:rRNA from 1 species